rnacentral:rRNA from 1 species
AACGAACGCUGGCGGCAUGCCUAACACAUGCAAGUCGAACGAGACCUUCGGGUCUAGUGGCGCACGGGUGCGUAACGCGUGGGAACCUGCCCUUAGGUUCGGAAUAACUCCCCGAAAGGGGUGCUAAUACCGGAUAAUGUCUUCGGACCAAAGAUUUAUCGCCUUUGGAUGGGCCCGCGUUGGAUUAGCUAGUUGGUAGGGUAAAAGCCUACCAAGGCGACGAUCCAUAGCUGGUCUGAGAGGAUGAUCAGCCACACUGGGACUGAGACACGGCCCAGACUCCUACGGGAGGCAGCAGUGGGGAAUAUUGACAAUGGGCGAAAGCCUGAUCCAGCAAUGCCGCGUGAGUGAUGAAGGCCUUAGGGUUGUAAAGCUCUUUUACCCGGGAUGAUAAUGACAGUACCGGGAGAAUAAGCGCCGGCUAACUCCGUG